rnacentral:tRNA from 1 species
GAGAGGUGGCCGAGCGGUUGAAGGCACCAGUCUUGAAAACUGGCAGGCGUGCAAGCGUCUCGUGGGUUCGAAUCCCACCCUCUCC